rnacentral:rRNA from 1 species
GGUGGGGAUGAAGUCAAGUCAGCAUGCCCCCUACGUCUUGGGCUACACACGUACUACAAUGCUACGGACAGAGGGCAGCAAGCCGGCAACGGCAAACAAAUCCUCCAAACCGUAUCUCAGUUCAGAUCGCAGUCUGCAACUCGCGAGCGUGAAGGAGGAAUCGCUAGUAAUUGCAGGUCAGCAUACCGCAGUGAAUUCGUUCCCGGGCCUUGUACACACCGCCCGUCACACCAUGGGAGUU